rnacentral:rRNA from 1 species
GGAAUAUUGGACAAUGGGCGCAAGCCUGAUCCAGCCAUGCCGCGUGUGUGAAGAAGGCCUUCGGGUUGUAAAGCACUUUUGUCCGGAAAGAAAAGCGGUCGGUUAAUACCCGGUCGUUCUGACGGUACCGGAAGAAUAAGCACCGGCUAACUUCGUGCCAGCAGCCGCGGUAAAACGUAGGAGGCGAGCGUUAUCCGGAGUUACUGGGCGUAAAGGGUGCGUAGGCGGCAUGGCAAGUGAGGCGUGAAAGCCCCGGGCUAAACUCGGGGAGGACAUCUCAGACUGCUAAGCUAGAGUGAAACAGAGGAGCGCGGAAUUCGGGGUGUAGCGGUGAAAUGUGUAGAGAUCCCGAGGAACACCAGUGGUGCAAACGGCGCUCUGGGUUUAGACUGACGCUGAGGCACGAAAGCUUGGGGAGCGA